AAGUUGAAGCCCAUAACCCUCUGUGUAUCACAGUUCUACUAUAAAUGGUUCUACUAUUCUGUUGGAGAAGGUUACAUAAUGCACAAGAGAAUGGGAUAAAACUGGCACCUAACCAAUUUCCAUGUUAGACUAUAUGCAGUGAUUCUUCAGACUUGCUAUAGACAUUUUCAAGCGAUCAAUUGUCCAGUGAACAGGAAGACAACAAGUUAACCAUCCAAGUGGGCGUGGUAAAUGAUAAACCAGGUCAAAUGUCAAGGCAUACGACCAACUUAUCACUCUAAAAGGACUUUGCGAUCAAAUCUGCAUCAUGUACACAAACAAGCAACUAAAGCUAAACUCUUACUAAACUCCAGAAUCAUAGGUACGCAGGAGCUGAGAAUUACCAUGGUUUGCUUUCUUUAUACAAUUUGCAAACAUUUAUUCACAACAAAAAAAGAUCUUCAAAAGGUCGGUUUUAUGGAUGGGGUGGAGGAUUUGGCAAUCGAGCAGUUGAGGUGAAGCAAAGAUGGCCUUAUAUGUGUGUGCUGCUUGUCCAGAUGUGAACAGCUUCAGCCGUGGCUCUGGAGGCGGCCGACACACUCUGGCUUCCAGCUUUCGGCUCCCCUGACAUCUGAGUGUCACAACACCCGCCAUGAUAGAAAACACAUGCGGAGUGGACAAGGUUUGUGAAGGGGAGGAGAGGGAGAUCGGACAGAGUCGAUUGAGUUGCUAAAGCCACAGCAACAAAGAACUUCUUGUUUCAUUGAUUUCCCAGAAAAGGCAUCAGCUGUCCAACAGGGUCAGCAAAAACGACAAGAAAAAAGGAAAGGAAAAAACAUCCAGACCAAAAAAAUCUGUGAGAUAUUAAAGGACAUCCUGUCUCAACAACAGCUCAUAAUCAAAAUUACAUUUGGUCCCACUUUAUAUUAGGUGUCUUUAACUACUACAUACUUACUUUUGCUGCUAUCUAGAGAUAUCGGUAAAGUUUGGUGAUAUGGGUAGGUUUAAGGUUGGAUUAAGGAGUAGGUGUCAGGUCAACAACUUGUAGGGGUAAUUACAGAAAUUAAUUACAUAUAUAAUUACAUGCAGGUAUUUUUUAUAUAUAAGUACAAUGUAAAAAAACAUAUUUACACAAUAAGUGUAUUGUAUCAUAGGUCCAUAUGGGUCACUAUUGCUUCUUAUGUUGAAGAUCUAUAUAUGUUCAUAUGUACAUCUAUCUAUCUAUCUAUCUAUCUAUCUAUCUAUCUAUCUAUCUAUCUAUCGUUAAUAUUAUACUUAUAUCUUUUUAAAAAAAUCAGAUUAAUUUUUUUUAGAUUAAAAAUUCUAUCAUCAUUUACUAACUCUUAUGUCGUUCCAAAUCUGUACGACUUUCUUACUUUUUGUCCAUACAAUGAAAGUCAAUGUGGUCCAGUGUCGUUUUGGACUCUAUUGACUUCCACUGUAUUGAAGAAAACACUCUUCAAAUUGUGUUCCGCAGAAGAAUGAAAGUCAUACAGGUAUGGAAAGAUAUGAGGUUGUGAUGAGAAUUUUCAUUGUCCCAGGAAAUGGUCAUGUUAAUGUCCAUCAAGGAUCAUUCAGUUUUUAUAAGUAUAAUGAUUACUGAUCAGGUCAACAGACAAUAAUGACAAUCAACAAGUAUUAGCAUGUAGUGCAGAUCAUCUGUGGAUCAUUACACUCUCAGCGGACAUGUCAACAAAACAACACAUGCUAGUUACAACACUAGAGAAACACCUUCAUGCCAUUUCAUCAUACUGUGGGUUUAGAUUAGUGGUAGUGUGGGGAAACAGGGGUCAAAUUAACAGGAAUGAGACUGCGGGACUGGAACGGGGUGGCAGGAUGUGGAAUAAUUAAAUGAUUCAAUCAAGCUACAGGGCUGAUUGGACUCCAGGAACUCUAGAAGGGAGUACUUACCCACCCGUGGGUCCAGCCAUGAGGUGCUUUGGGUUUUGUGGUCAAUGAAGUAUGUUUCUCCCUGAGGGGUGACGGCCUGCUCCCAACCCUCGGGCAACUGUCCUGUUCAGCAACAGUACAACAGCUAGAGAUCAGCCAGCAGCCUGACCCACACUCCAGAGUGAUGACCAAAGAAGUGUGCUUCAUUUAGGCUACGGCUACUUUUUGGUCUGCUUAAAUGUGCAAUUGUACCUUUAUGGGAACAACAGCUUGUCACUGAGCAGUAACCUUAAUGGAACCCUUACUUGUACCGUAUUUACCCCAAAAAGGGACACAGUAUAACAUAUUACUAAUAAACACCUUUUAUGGGUAAAUAAGAUACAAAGUAGUCCUUGCAACACCAAAAUAUUGUGUGUAUUGGUUUGAGUAAUACUCAUCUUUAAUUAAAAUGUAAUGGCUUGUGUUGCCCCUAAAAUUAAUUUCCUUUUCUGUUGAUGCAGCCAAGGUUGCAUAUCCAAUAUUAUAAAAUGGUUACAUUUAAUAACUUUUUCAAUAAUGUCAUGUGGUGUAAAAUGUAAAAAGUAAUAAAAUUUACGUAAAUAUUUU